UGCCUAAACCUGCGACUUCGUUCGUCAGGCAUGGCAUAAAAACCCAUCGAAGAUAUUAAGCUCGUCGUCAGAGCACUCUUCGAUGGGUCAUAUCGGGAAACCGGUAUGGGUGGUCGCAAGACCAUC
rnacentral:sRNA from 12 species